AUGGAGACCGACAGUCUGGAGAUUGUGAAUCUCUGGAACACUCACCGCAACAGUCGCUCUAUUGUGGCACCAGUUUUCUUUGAAAUUGAUGAGCUAGCGGAUAUUUUUCAUUCUUUUGUAAUUCAGCAUGUUAGUAGAUCUGCAAACGGUCCAACACACUUGUGUGCCCAGCGUGCAUGUAAUGUGUCUGUAACCAAGAGUUGGCUCUCUGAGACUCCAAGUUUCCUGGUUAGCAGCCUAAUGGCUGACUGCCCAGCGAACACUUUUGUUUGA
rnacentral:rRNA from 1 species